UAGGAAAGUCAUAAAUAUAUAAAUUAAAAUAUAUUAUUAUUCAUCAUAAUAAUAACUGAUAGUAUAUAUAUCUUUAUUAAUGAGUUUCCGAAGGGAACCCCCCCACAUUAUAUUAAUGUGGGGGGGGGGUCGACGGAGUAGUGGGUAAUAUUAUAUUUUAUAAUAAAGUAAUAAAUAUAAAUAAAUAAUAAUGGAAAUAAAAUACUUAUAUAAUUAACAUUUAUAAAAUAAGUAUAGUAUAUAUCUUAAUAAAUAUAAAUUAAACAAAUAUAAAAAAAUCCUUUUUUUAUAUAUAAUAGGUAUUCCAAUCACUCAUAUUAAUAUGUUGAGGUUGAACCUAUAAUAAUAGUUAUAUAUAUAUAUUUAUAUUAUUCUUAUAUAAGUAUAUAAAGAAUAAUAUAUUAAUUAUAUAUUAAAAAUUAAUAUAUAAUUAAAUAAUAUUACGUAUCCCCUGAAUUAUAAUGUAUAUAAUUCUAAUAAUCUUGGGGAGAGUUAUUAUAAUAUACAAAAAUAUGCUUAA
rnacentral:sRNA from 1 species